AAAUUCUCGUGUCACAAUGUUAGUUACCGUACUCCUCCGAAACGACUUUACUGAUUUUUACCAAAUGUCAUAUGCAAAUUCAGUAGGUACUGAGUCUGAGAAUCGGCUACUGGGUAC